rnacentral:tRNA from 1 species
GCCGGGAUGGUGGAAUAGGUAGACACACGGGACUUAAAAUCCCGCGGGCCUUGGCCUGUGCCGGUUCAAGUCCGGCUCCCGGCACCA